GUGCUUGCUUCAGCAGCACAUAUACUAAAAUUCGAAUGAUACAGAGAAGAUUAGCAUAGCCGCAGCACAAGGAUGACACGCAGGUUCAUGAUGCGUUCCAAAUUUAA